ensembl:lncRNA LINC01819 long intergenic non-protein coding RNA 1819
AUUUCCCAGAGAGGCCAGAGGCAGAGGGGUGCAGAAGAGAGAGCAGAGCCCCUUUGCCUGGGCACAUCUGGGCUCACUACAUGGGAAAGGGCCCCAGGACAAGGGAAGACGAGAAGAGACAGGCCAGGCCCAAGGAGGGAGAGGACCUGAGAUCGAAGAUAGGAGAGAGGAAGACAAGAAGGAGAAGCAGAAAUGAGAAGUUCUGGGGGCUGAGAAGUCCAAGAUCAAGGUGCUGCCAAUUUGGUUCCUGGUGAAUGAGCAAACAGCACAGAAAAAGAAACAGCAGUAUAUGUGGAAGAAAGCAAGAAAAAUCAACUGGCCUGGAACCUAAGACUUGUCCAAAGAUGUCACAGAGAGUAAAAUGAGAAAAAUCCAGUAGCCCGUGCCCAGAGCAGUUCCUCGUACCCAGCAGAAGGCUAACAAGCCCUGAGAUGAAUGAUGCUCUUCCCAAGGAAGGCAGAGGAGGCGACAGUCCAUUUGCGUUCUCUCCUCUGCAAGUACAGGAUCUCGUUUGAUUCUCAAAACCACCCUAGAGGAGACAGGAGGCACCUGAGGCCCAGAGACGUGAAGCCACCUGUCCAAGGCCAUACAGCAGAUAACUUAUUCUGGAGGAAGACACCUGCCAUGCCGUGAGGACAGUCAAGCAGUUCUGUGGAGAGAUCCAUGUGGUGAGAAACAGGGGCCUCCUGUCAACAGGAAGAACAACCUGGCAGGCCUGUCUUGGAUUCAGAGCCUCCAGCCCCAGUCGAGCCUUCAGAUAACUGCACCCUUGGCUGUCAUCUCAACUGCAAUCUCACGACAGACCCUGAGCUGGAACUACUCUGUUUACCAAUGCCUGGCCCACAGAAAGACUAUGAGAUAAAACAAGUAUAUUGUUUUUAGAA